rnacentral:rRNA from 1 species
UACAGAGGUCCCAAGCGUUGUUCGGAUUCACUGGGCGUAAAGGGUGCGUAGGUGGCCAGGUAAGUUUGAUGUGAAAGCUCGGAGCUUAACUCCGAAAUGGCAUUGAAUACUAUCUGGCUUGAGGGUCGGAGGGGAGACUGGAAUUCUCGGUGUAGCAGUGAAAUGCGUAGAUAUCGAGAGGAACACCAGUGGCGAAGGCGGCUCACUGGACCGGAACUGACGCUGAGGCGCGAAAGCGUGGGGAGCAAACAGG